GAUGAACGCUAGCGGCAGGCCUAACACAUGCAAGUCGAGGGGUAACGAUGUCUUCGGACAGUCGACGACCGGCGCACGGGUGAGUAACACGUUUGUAACCUACCUUUAACAGGAAGAUAGCCCGAAGAAAUUCGGAUUAAUAUUCCAUAACACUAUAGUUUGGCAUCAUUUUAUAGUUAAAGCUCCGGCGGUUAAAGAUGGGCAUGCGUAACAUUAGCUAGUUGGUAAGGUAAUAGCUUACCAAGGCUACGAUGUUUAGGGGGUCUGAGAGGAUAGUCCCCCACACUGGUACUGAGACACGGACCAGACUCCUACGGGAGGCAGCAGUGAGGAAUAUUGGUCAAUGGGCGAAAGCCUGAACCAGCCAUGCCGCGUGAAGGAAGACGGCCCUAUGGGUUGUAAACUUCUUUUAUACGAGAAGAAACCGCUCUACGUGUAGAGUCUUGACGGUAUCGUAUGAAUAAGCAUCGGCUAACUCCGUGCCAGCAGCCGCGGUAAUACGGAGGAUGCGAGCGUUAUC
rnacentral:rRNA from 1 species